AUAGAUGAUGAAUAUGCACUGGGCUCUGAGCAAGCUGUUCGCAGCUGGCCUUUUUGAUGCACAUUUGCAGCCUAGAAAGCUAUGUCUGAUAU
rfam:Jatropha curcas cultivar GZQX0401 scaffold542_19, whole genome shotgun sequence.